CUCCACUUGCUCCCUCCUGGUGGCAGUUUUCCCCCCUGUACCAGGAUAGGGGUCCAACUGCAGCUGUCCUCUCAGCUGCUUUGUGGCACUGAGCAGCCCUAACAUGUUGGUGCCCUGCCCAUGCAGGUGCCUCUCACUCCCAAGCCACAGCCCCCCAGCCCUGCCAGUGCUCUUGUGCGUCUCAUGUUGUGCUGUUCCCUGGCCAAGGGAAGCCCGACAGCAGGCAGAGCAGACAGAAGGGAGAAGAAAGAGGGGCAGCAGGAUGGGGAUUCAGCAGGGGCCACCCAUGGAGCCAGGGACUUCACUUUAGCCUGGAUCCUAAACUGCAACUUCCAUUCCCAGCAAAUCACAAACAGACAGCCUAGUUUGUGUCAGCCCUCGAGAAAAAUGAAAACUAUAAUAUCAUCGGAAGCCUGGAAGGGACUUCAAGGGUAAUUUCGAGCCUGUCCCCUGCACUGAUGCAAGGCUUCCUAUCCCUCAACCAUUCCAGGCAGGUGUCUAUCACUGUAGGUUGUACAUCAAUUUGAUGGGAUUGACUUUACAUGGAUUCAUUUCCUUUACUCCUCCCUUGAUGCUGUCCUACUGAUUACAAGACUUAUCUGUACAUAUCCAUUAUUUUCACCUUCUUGGCACAAGCAAGCUUCAGUGGUAUAAGUAACUAACACAAAUAAUAAGCAAAAGAUCUUUAUUAAGGAACAUAUAUGAUACUCAUGACAGUAGCCAGCUGUGAUCUUCAGGUACAAGCAUUGUCUAUAUAAAGAUUAUUUAUUACAUAUUUUAUUCAAUGUAUAUACUGUCAUUCCUAACAAAGGCUCAGGUGGCUUACAAUAAGGAUAGAAUAAUUUGUAAAACAGGAGAAUGUACAAGAGAACAUUUAAAAUGGAAUUGAUAGCAUCAAUAUAAAACAGAAACACCCUAAUCAAUAUCCCAGUCUAGCUUUGCUAAACACUUGCCUAAAUAGGAAGAUCGUACAACACUUUUGAAAGGUGUCCAGGCUUGGGCUCUGCCAGGCCUCAAGGAGGGAAUUCCAGAGCUGAGGAGCAACUGCUAAGAAUGACUUUCCACAUAUAUUUGCCAAGAGGAUACAUGUAAAUAAAUCUUGUCAAAAGCUCUUCUGAGUUCAUAUAUAAUUAGAAUGGGGCCUGGGCUUUCACUGUUCUGUAGAUAUGUCUCUCUUCACUAGAGGUAAAUCAGAACUGAAAUAUGUUGGUGAGGCCUUGCUGAAAAGUUUAGAUUGCUGCCACCUGCACUGUUCCCAUUCCUUAGAAGAAUGAAAGAUCUCAGUCACUUGGGCUAGCAAUCCAGAGCUUUACACGAACACUAAAUUCACAAGGUUGAUCUUUUCUUCUUUUUUAGUUUUUGGGGGGAGAGGUGGUUUAAUAAUAAAAGUUUCAAAGGGAAUCAAGAAUUCAGGUUUGAUUAAACAUAGUAAUCUCUCAGAAAUGAUGGAUGGGUUUUGAAAUAUCACACAGUCUUAUAUGUUCUCCACACAUCCUAGAAUAUUUUAAGAAACAGUAGAUGGCAGGGGCUUGCCAUCCCUUUGAGCUACAUCACUGCUAUGUAACAAGCCUCCCAAGCUUUCAGCCAGAACCCAGGCAAUCCUGUUUGGUGUAGCAUUAGACAAUCUGACAGGAGGGACUGCAGCUCUUAGUAAUUAAAACAUUCGGCACUGGCCCCAUGCACUAACAGGAUGCCAGAAUCCGUAUUUGUUCCUUUAUGGCAAUUCUUGUUCUUAGGAUUCCUUUGUAGAGCCAGCAACUGUCCUUAAUGUUCCCCCAUAUUUCAGAAAUCUUGGCCUAAGUUUUCAAAGGGUUUUUUGUACUUCAACUUUUGAGUGUCCCACAUGGGACACCUUAGAUGGGCUUAAUUCUCAGAAAGUAAUUUUCUGAAAAUCAAGCCCUUUUAAUGUACCUCAGAUUUGGCACCCAAAAUCACUAGUCACUGCUGAAAAUAUAAACCCUCAUCUCUAAGAUGGAGGUUUUAGAAAGUGAUCAGUGCAAUGCAAAAUGUUUACAUGCAGGUUUUAUUUCAAUAGACUUUUCCCCUGGUAGUAUUCUGCUACUGAGUUACAUAUGUAUCAUAUAAGAUCUACUAUCGCUCUUGUUUGUCAACCAGAAUCCCUAACACAUUACAUAUUCUUCCCAUGCCCCUACAGUGCAGUAAGAUAUAAAUAAACAUAGAAACUGCAAAGAUAAACUAAGGAAAAAAGUUUGAGGUGUCUAAAACAUCCUCCCAGGUACUUUAGGUUAUGAAGUAUGAAAAUAACAAUCAGGUGGUUCUUCUAAUUGAUAUAUGCUAGUUCUUUAACAUGACAGGAAAGUAUGGUUCUGCUAUGCUGAAACCUCUCAUUAAGGAAUGAGAAAUGCUUCAUUCUCUAAAUGUGAAUGCUGUCACAAGUGAAACAGAGGAAUAGAUUUAAGAGGACGCUACGAGUUUGUAGGUAAUACACAAAGUGAAAUAGUUAAAUAAAAAAAGAUUCUGUGAUUGUAAAAAUAUGUUUAUUUCUAAGGUGUCAGGAAUUUACUUUCAGAAGUUCCCAUUCUAGCUAUAAUGUCCCUCCUCAUAUUAUCUAUUAUGCUUCUCCUUAAUCACAGAGACAAAUCACUUUCACAGAAACUAAUCACAGGAUGCAUCAUCACAGUGCAACCUUUGGGACACCAGAACAAAAGGAAAAAUAUUACCCUAAAACCUCAUAGCUUAUUUCCAUCAAUAGCAUUCACUGUAGACUGCCAGACAAACCACAAGGUGGAGCUUUUCCACUACUGGUGGUUGAGAAAUCCAACAUUUACAUCAUUAGUAGGCUAGAGAAAAGUGUUGAACUGAGCUAAUGGAGUACAGACCUACUAGUAUCUGUUGCCUCAAAACGGUUAAGUACAAAUGGUUGCAAUGGCAAACAGUUACUCUCUUUAUUGCUGUCUUCUAUUGCCUAUUCAUGACAUACAAAAAUAUUAAGUGAGGAAAACUGAGGAGAUCUUAUCAACGUAUAGUCUCAGGCUCUCAUCCCCAUACCAUUUACAGGUGGUCUGAAAGACAGUCUGAAGCAAUUUCAGAAUUCAAGCACAGAAGUGCCUCUCAAUUCAUUAUACUGAAACAGGCUUUAUAACAACUUUUUACAUUAACUCCCUUUUUUCCCCUUUCUGUUCUUUGAGGACUAAAGAAAAUGACUGAAGAUUCUUAUGAUGUUUUUCAGUAGAGUUGGUGUGAUAUUUUAGCCAUGAUGGCCUAGAAAUUAUGUAAGAGACAAGGAUUUUUUGGGAGUGAUGAUAUAUUUUUCUGAACCAACUGCAUAAGGUUAGACAAGUUCUCAAAUGCUAGGCAUUCUUCAUCAGUUCUUGUAUUCAAAAACUUAUUCCAGCCAUGUAGUUGGUCCAAUAAAAGAUAUCACUCCCCAGAAAAUCCUUGAGUGGCACUGACUGUACCUGGAAGAACUGGAUGCCUUUAAGUCGGCAGGCCCGGAUGAGCUCUAUCCAAGGGUGCUGAAGGCACUGGCUGACAUCACUGCAGAGCCACUGGCGGGAAUAUUCAAAUGCUCGUGGCGCACAG